rnacentral:rRNA from 1 species
UGGGGAAUAUUGGACAAUGGGCGCAAGCCUGAUCCAGCCAUGCCGCGUGUGUGAAGAAGGCCUUUUGGUUGUAAAGCACUUUAAGCGAGGAGGAGGCUACUUGGAUUAAUACUCUAGGAUAGUGGACGUUACUCGCAGAAUAAGCACCGGCUAACUCUGUGCCAGCAGCCGCGGUAAUACAGAGGGUGCGAGCGUUAAUCGGAUUUACUGGGCGUAAAGCGUGCGUAGGCGGCUUCUUAAGUCGGAUGUGAAAUCCCUGAGCUUAACUUAGGAAUUGCAUUCGAUACUGGGAAGCUAGAGUAGGGGAGAGGAUGGUAGAAUGCCAAGUGUAGAGAUGAAAUGCGUAGAGAUCUGGAGGAAUACCGAUGGCGAAGGCAGCCAUCUGGCCUAAUACUGACGCUGAGGUACGAAAGCAUGGGGAGCAAACAGG